AGAGUUUGAUCAUGGCUCAGAGUUUGAUCAUGGCUCAGAGUUUGAUCAUGGCUCAGAGUUUGAUCAUGGCUCAGAGUUUGAUCAUGGCUCAGAGUUUGAUCAUGGCUCAGAUUGAACGGCAGCACAGUAAGAGCUUGCUCUUACGGGUGGCGAGUGGCGGACGGGUGAGGAAUACAUCGCAAUCUACUUUUUCGUGGGGGAUAACGUAGGGAAACUUACGCUAAUACCGCAUACGACCUACGGGUGAAAGCAGGGGAUCUUCGGACCUUGCGCGAUUGAAUGAGCCGAUGUCGGAUUAGCUAGUUGGCGGGGUAAAGGCCCACCAAGGCGACGAUCCGUAGCUCCUCUGAGAGGAUGAUCAGCCACACUGGAACUGAGAGACGGUCCACCCUCCUAGCGUAGGCUUCAGUGGGGUAUAAAGGACUUUGGGCGCAAGCCUGAUCGAGGGAUACCCCGCGCGUGAAGAAUGCCUUCGGGUUGUAAAGCCCAAUUGUUGGGAUAGAAAUCCAGCCGGCACUUACCUGGUUGGAUGACGGUACCCCAAAGAAUAAGCNCCGGCUAACUUCGUGCCAGCAGCCGCGGUAAUACGAAGGGUGCAAGCGUUACUCGGAAUUACUGGGCNUAAAGCGUGCGUAGGUGGUCGUUUAAGUCUGUUGUGAAAGCCCUGGGCUCAACCUGGGAACUGCAGUGGAAACUGGACGACUAGAGUGUGGUAGAGGGUAGCGGAAUUCCUGGUGUAGCAGUGAAAUGCGUAGAGAUCAGGAGGAACAUCCAUGGCGAAGGCAGCUACCUGGACCAACACUGACACUGAGGCACGAAAGCGUGGGGAGCAAACAGGAUUAGAUACCCUGGUAGUCCACGCCCUAAACGAUGCGAACUGGAUGUUGGGUGCAAUUUGGCACGCAGUAUCGAAGCUAACGCGUUAAGUUCGCCGCCUGGGGAGUACGGUCGCAAGACUGAAACUCAAAGGAAUUGAC
rnacentral:rRNA from 1 species